GUGGCUGCCAUGCCACUUCGCCACCCAACAUGUGUGGCCUCCCCGCGCCUCUGGAUUCUCCCUCCCAUUCUCGUUCGUCCUUAGCGUCCCCUACCUUGCUCCCUGUACUAUCGCGCUUGAUCUCCCUCCCCCCUUGCUCCUCCCUCUCGUCCUUCCCCAGUCUCCAAACUCCUUCGCAUGAAACAGUACUGAAAUAUCCGUUUCAAAUUGGCUGAAAAUCUGCUAAAUGAAGGCAUAGAGAUUUUGUCAGGCCAAAGGUUCAUAAUCUGUAGUAGACAUACAGAUCGACACAUAUGGCUAGCCAAAUAUCUGGUACCAUAGCAUCUAGUGGGGUGUGCUAUAAUGAUAAACACAGAAUGCCGUGUAAGCUGAAAGCACUACGCUGCGUAGCAUCGAAUUGUUUACCACUAGAGGUAGAGGUAAGGAAGUGGAUGAACGGAUAUCAUAUCAUCAGGUCCUUUCCAAACGAUAGGCAUUGGAAAACGAAUGCGAAGUCCAAUGGUUACCUACUCCAACAAGGUCCGAAUGUUUGGUGCCAUUCUUAUGGUUCUCGUAGUGCCAGUGAAACUAAAGAGUGCAAUAUUCCUGAAGAUGGCAACAAUCCUUACAGGGAUUUUGAUGAGCAUCCAAGAGGAAUGUCACAUUUUUCAGAUAGUCAAGUUGCAGCUCAGGAAAAAACACUAUAUUCUACUCAAGGGCUGUCUAAAGCGUGCCAAUUUGUCUAUAAUGAUGCAAAGUUUGUGAAUGAAAGAGCUCAGAGUGAUAUUCUUUUGCUUUCACGUGGCAUCACAAGGUUGAACAAACGUGCAUCUAAGGAUGUUGCUGUAUUAGGAUUGGGGUUUCUCAAGCUUGAUGAUUGCCUGAAAGCUCGUGCAAGGAAGGACACCCGAAAGAUUGAUAACAGUGUGAAGGAACGGGCAGCCCACCUAACCAAUUUUGCUAGAAUAUUGAAGGAGCGAGCUCAUUCAGACUUGAAGAAAGCAGCAGAUCAACAUUGGAGUGAUGGUGCUUUGGAGGCAGAUCUGCGACGAGCUGACAUGGUUGUUCGACGACGUGCCAUGGAGGAUGCUUUCAUGGCUUUAAAGUUUGUUCGGGGUAUUCAUGACAUGAUGGCAACCAAACUACAAUAUCAGUUCAUCACACUGGAGAAAAAUGGGAAGAUUCUUAAGUUGUUCCCUCGUGAAGUUUCUACUGAUCAAAUCGCUGCCAUAGAGGAUGCAUAUCUUAAUAUGGCAUCUGCCUUAUCUGAGGCUGAUGGUAUCGACUACACCAAUCCUGAGGAGCUUGAAUUAUUAGUAGCGGCUCUUAUUGACCUGGAUGCUAUGGAUGGGAAAAAGAGUGUUUCCUUGAUAGUUGAAUGUUCAAGCUCUCCAGAUGUUAAUACCAGUUGGCCAUCAAUGCAAGGUGCAUUUCCCAUGCGUCGCAUCUUGUGUCGUUGCUCAAGGCAAGCUUUGCCCUCUUGUCUGCUUCUCUUGCUUGAUGGGUGUGCUCUUCAUAUUCGUGUUUUUGAGCACGAAGAGCUUGAUGCGCUUGAUUUUCUUGAUUGGCUUGACGAACUUCUUCUCGGUGGUGCGCAUUGCGCUCUUCAUCCUUGUCCUCGUUCACGUUCUAGGAUUCAGUCUUGUAGUCUGUUGCCGCAAGGAGGGUUUGGAAGCUUGAUGCGCUUGAUUUUCUUGAUUGGCUUGACGAGCUUCUUCUCGGUGGUGCGCAUUGCGCUCUUCAUCCUUGUCCUUGUUCACGUUCUAGGAUUCGGUCUUGUAGUCUGUUGCUGCAAGGAGGGUUUGGAGCGCGGGAGGGCUCGAGGUCUUGCUGGUCAUGGUGAGACCGGUUUGAACUUGAGCCGGAUGGUAGCUCGGAGUGAGCCUUUUCUUUGAAAGCUUUGGCUAAUGCAUUGGCUGCAGCUCCAUCUAUGUGGACCCUAGGGAAUGCUGGGAUGGGCGCAUUACAGAGAUUGGCUCAAGAUUCCAAUCCCGCUGUAGCUAGCUCUGCAGCAAGAGCCAUUGGCGAACUCAGAAAGCAGUGGGAGCUUGAAGAGGGUGACAGUCUGAGGUUUGUCAUGAACCAAAACUUGAUUUCCGAAGAGACUGACAGCGACAGUUGAGUAGCAGAUGAUGUCACCACGUGAGGCGUAAAUCAGAUGAAUGACUCAACACGUACAGAGUGUAAUAGGAACCGAAAAAUGUGUAACUGAGUCGACUGCAUUUCUCUGUGUUACGUCGCAGCAUAAAAUGUGCUGCUUGUUGACUACAUCACGAGAAGGCAUGUCAAGGUACCUGAUAAGUGCUAAACAAAUGUGAAGUGGUGUAAUGAGAACUCAUUUCCCCCGACCCAAUUAUUAUAUACUCCCUCAGUCCCAUAAUGUAGAUGAAUUUGGCCA